GACGAACGCUGGCGGCGUGCUUAACACAUGCAAGUCGAACGGAAAGGCCCUGCUUGCAGGGUACUCGAGUGGCGAACGGGUGAGUAACACGUGGGUGAUCUGCCCUGCACUUCGGGAUAAGCCUGGGAAACUGGGUCUAAUACCGGAUAGGAGCCAUUUUUAGUGUGAUGGUUGGAAAGUUUUUUCGGUGUAGGAUGAGCUCGCGGCCUAUCAGCUUGUUGGUGGGGUAAUGGCCUACCAAGGCGGCGACGGGUAGCCGGCCUGAGAGGGUGGACGGCCACAUUGGGACUGAGAUACGGCCCAGACUCCUACGGGAGGCAGCAGUGGGGAAUAUUGCACAAUGGGCGCAAGCCUGAUGCAGAGACGCCGCGUGGGGGAUGACGGCCUUCGGGUUGUAAACUCCUUUCGCUAGGGACGAAGCUUUUUGUGACGGUACCUAGAUAAGAAGCACCGGCUAACUACGUG
rnacentral:rRNA from 1 species